AGUUUUUUUUAUAUUUAGAUGUAAAUGUCAGAUGAAAACAUAACCUCUAAAAAAUGAGGUGCUAAAAUAACCAUUAGGAGGGCGAGAAAUGUAACGAAAUACUUUAUUCUUUGAUAAUUAAGGAGUAUUUAGGAGAUGAAAAAUGUGAUUUAAACUUUAUUUGGAAAUGUUUUUAUUUAUUUAUUUAAACAUAGAGGUAGAGAUAGGACAAGUCCCAUUAGGAACUACCUCACAACUACAUAUGUAAUUUAACAAUAGAAAGACCACUACAAGUUGCAGUAACUAUUGAUCAACCUGAACAAGAAGUGAACAGAAUCGAUAGGAAAGGUGUUUUAGAAACCUCACCUGAACUCUCUCUAUUCUAUUAACAUAAACAUUAUAGUGAAGAUUCCAAACAGUGUUUCUGAAACAAAAUAUUAUUUACAAAGGCAUUAUUUAGGGCCUAUAUUUCAUUUGACAGAUAACUUAAAGUGACAGCAACCACUUCACGUUAUGAUAAUUACAGAAAUCUGUAAUUUAAACAUGUUUUAUAGGCAAUGUGUUAGUAAAAGAUUCAAACGAACGCAUUACAAAUCCCAGCAUCCUAUUAGCUCAUAAAUAAUCUCAAAAGAGAAGAUUAUCAGUAAAUUCUACUGCAUCUUGAAAACGCUUGACAAAU